UUGACACACACUUCUCUCUCUCUCUUUCGACACACACUUCUAUCUCUCUUUCUCUCUCUCUGGAUAACCAUUUCUAGAUCUAAGAUCUUCAUAAUCAACCACCAAUAUUCUUCUUCUUAUCAAAAUCAUUCAUAAUCAACCACCAAAACUAUAGAUCUACAAGUGUAACAACCUGGUGAUGGUCGAUGAUCGAUGUUGAAGAUGAUGUGAUGGCGGUUCCAGAUCCGGUUGAAGAUAAUCGUUGUUGAAGAUGAUCGAAAUCAUCUUCCAGAUCCGGUUGAAGAUGAUCGAUUUUGAAGAUGAUGUGAUGGUGGUUCGAUGUUGAAGAUGACCCAAAAGAUGAUCGAUGUUUAAACAUGAUGUUCAAGAUCUAGAAAAUCCUCCAGGUCCAUAAGUAUGUUUGUUUUUGGGUUUUUUUUUUCAGAUUUGCAAUUUUUUUGCGUUUUGUAGUUCUUCAUUUUUUUUUUGUAUUUUGUAGAUCUGCAACUUUUUCCUGGAUAUGUUGUUGUUUUUUUUGUUUUUCUUGAUCUGAAUCCAAAAUAUGAUCCAGUUCAAAAGAUCAUCAUCCAGAUGCUCAACUUUUUUCUGGAUAUGUUUUUUUUUUGUUCAAGAAGAUGAAUGUUUUUAAUUUCUUGAUUUAUCAAUUUUUUGUGUAAAUUUUGUUCAAGAAAAAAUGCAUGUCAUAUUUUUCCGUGUCACAUAAAUAAUGUACGUUUACAUAAAAUAAAGUGAAUUGUUACACUUUUUCAGAUUAUUGUAAAAAUAAAGUGUGUUGUUACAUGCAACUUUUUUCUGGAUAUUUUUUUUUGUUCAAGAAGAUGAAUGUUUUUAAUUUCUUGAUUGAUCAAUUUUUUAUGUUAAAUUUGUUCAAGAAAAAAUGCAUGUUACAUUUUUCCGUGUCACAUAAAUAAUGUACGUUUACAUAAAAUAAAGUGCAUUGUUACGCUUUUUUAGAUUAUUUGUAAAAAUAAGUGUGUUGUUACAUUUUUUUAUGUUACAAAAUGAUAAUCAGUUUCAGAGUUAACUAGGAUCAUACCAGGUCUUUUAAGGAACAUCAACAACCGGCAAGUUGAACUGUUUACCCGUGAGCAAGAAAUUCGGAAGAAGAAGAGGGUUAUAUGGUUACUGAUAUUAGCGUGGUACUUAGUUGGAUUAUCCUUGUUAGUAUGUUAAUGACAUUUUCGGUAGUAUGUACUUGUUGAUGUUUGGUUGAAUAUGAGAAUUUUCUAUGUUAUGG
rnacentral:lncRNA from 1 species